GACGAACGCUGGCGGCGUGCUUAACACAUGCAAGUCGAACGGAAAGGCCCUGCUUUUGUGGGGUGCUCGAGUGGCGAACGGGUGAGUAACACGUGAGUAACCUGCCCUCGACUUUGGGAUAACUUCAGGAAACUGGGGCUAAUACCGGAUAGGAGCUCCUGCUGCAUGGUGGGGGUUGGAAAGUUUCGGCGGUUGGGGAUGGACUCGCGGCUUAUCAGCUUGUUGGUGGGGUAGUGGCUUACCAAGGCUUUGACGGGUAGCCGGCCUGAGAGGGUGACCGGCCACAUUGGGACUGAGAUACGGCCCAGACUCCUCCGGGAGGCAGCGGUGAGGAAUAUUGCACGCUGGGCGGAAGCCUGAUGCAGCAACGCCGCGUGCGGGAUGACGGCCUUCGGGUUGUAAACCGCUUUCGCCUGUGACGAAGCGUGAGUGACGGUAAUGGGUAAAGAAGCACCGGCUAACUACGUG
rnacentral:rRNA from 1 species